AAACAAACAAUCAGGUAAAGAACGAAUAAAAGAACGAAGCAAGAAAGGCUGGUGGGCUAAACAGUAUUCACACCAACCUGGAGGCAGAUCAACUCGACGAUCCAGACUCAUUUUAAAUAACCAUUCAAACGACAAUAUGGAUUCAAGUUGUUGGGAAGGAUAAUGAAGGUCUAUUAUAUACAAGGAUGAUUUAAUUUUUUGACUAGUAAUUCCACAAAUUCCGCAACGAUAAGUCUGCAUUUCUGGUAUGCAAAAUGAUUUCAGCAAAAAACUAACAGGAAAUGAAGUCCCAUCCUUUUUAUCUUCGUAGUCAGCAA